GUGGCUCACCCUUGUAAUCCCAGCAUUUUGGGAGGCCAAGGGAGGCGGAUGACCUGACGUUAGGAGUUCGAGACCAGCCUGGCCAACAUGGUGAAACCCUGUCUCUACU